rnacentral:rRNA from 1 species
CACGGGUGAGUAAUGCGUAGAUAAUCUGCCUGGUGAUCUGGGAUAACAUCUCGAANGGGGUGCUAAUACCGGAUAAGCCCACGGAUCUCUUCGGAGAAUGCAGGGAAAAGGGGGGGACCUUCGGGCCUUCUGUCACCAGAUGAGUCUACGUACCAUUAGCUAGUUGGUGGGGUAAGAGCCCNCCAAGGCUACGAUGGUUAGCUGGUCUNAGAGGAUGAUCAGCCACACUGGAACUGAGACNCGGUCCAGACUCCUACGGGAGGCAGCAGUGGGGAAUUUUGCGCAAUGGGGGAAACCCUGACGCAGCAACGCCGCGUGAGUGAUGAAGGCCUUCGGGUCGUAAAGCUCUGUCAAUAGGGAAAKAAAUGUGGGUGGCUAAUNUCCAUACCACUUGNCGGAGCCCUC